rnacentral:rRNA from 1 species
CAGUCGCCGCGGGAAUACGAAGGGGGCUAGCGUUGUUCGGAAUUACUGGGCGUAAAGCGCACGUAGGCGGACAUUUAAGUCAGGGGUGAAAUCCCGGGGCUCAACCCCGGAACUGCCUUUGAUACUGGGUGUCUAGAGUAUGGAAGAGGUGAGUGGAAUUCCGAGUUUAGAGGUGAAAUUCGUAGAUAUUCGGAGGAACACCAGUGGCGAAGGCGGCUCACUGGUCCAUUACUGACGCUGAGGUGCGAAAGCGUGGGGAGCAAACAGGAUUAGAUACCCCCGUAGUCCCUGUCUCUAUACA